rnacentral:lncRNA from 1 species
UGAUCAUGGUUCCAUGGUAGCCGAAGUUGGAACUAGUUAUGCAGUCUCUGACGAAAUGGAAGAUGAUGCUUCAUUCCCUCUGCAGGGUGAAAUGGUAAGCGAUCUUCAACCCACCACCAGUUCAAUAGUUCCUGAGAAUUUUGAAGAACAGAUGAUGUUAGCCAUGGCUGUUUCACUGGCCGAGGCAAGUGCACGGUCUAGUCCACCUGGGGUGGCCUGGCACUAGUAGUGCUAGGGGUUGUGAGGAUUCCACUUGUGCUACGUCGCCACUUAUCAAAAAGAAAAGAAAAAGAAAAAGGAAAAAAGACGAAAAAGAAAAUGCAACUAGUUUUUUACCCCUCUUCUCCUCUUACCUUUUUCCAUCUCCCUUUUCCUACGUGUCCUCCCUUUCGUAUUUCGGUAUACUGCUGUACGAAAACUGAGAAAUUGAUUCUAGUGAAUGAAAUGUUGCUUGAGCCCUGCAUAUAACAAGUUUUGCAAGUUAAACUCAUUCACAAAAAAUGUAAUUAGUUGUGUCAAAUUUAGUUUUAUUAUUUCCAAAGGUAAUGAGCUCUGGCCUCUGCAUUUGUUCAAAGAUCGAUGCAAUGGUUUGGUUAUCCUCAAAUGAGGAUGCAUAUUUUGUACAGGCAUCGACAAUAUAAAGCCAUGCGGGUUUUACUACUAGAAUCGAAGUACUCGCAAGCUAGCUAAUUUGGACACUGCGAUUAUUUUUUAAAAAAGGAAGAGUUGUAAUUAGGCACAUUGAAGUUGUAGCAGAACAACGCAGUAUUAGUUUAAUUUUUUAUUUUUUUGGGGAGAGAGUUCUUUCAUUUUUGGCUUUUAUCUGAAAAAAGGUUUUAAUGUGGAGUAGAAACUUAAUUGAUUUUUAGUCUGACAAUGCAAGAAUUUUACGUUAAAUUUACUUGAAAUGCCAGACAGUAAGCUAGGGCGAUAACUUCGAAAAGCUGACUUAACCAUAUAAAAUGAUAAAAGUAACGCAAGGCAAUGUCUUGUAUUCAUUUGCAUAAAAAUUGGAUUCAAGUCGAAUUAACUUAUAUACAAAUGUAAAUCAAUUUAAUUAAUAUGAUUCAGUAAACUGUAAAAGGAUCAUUUUCAGAACUUGAAUAGGAACCCCAAUCCAAAACAGAAAAUUGUAGUUAUCAGCAUUUUAUAAGACAUAAGUCAUAACAAACUUGAGUGGUAAAACUAGUUUUCAAUUUUGAGAUGCUGCAACUCUCAAUUAACAAUUCGACGAAUCAAAAUUCCAUCUGCAGUGAUUGGAUGUCAUAUCUGGGGGUUAUACAUAACUACACCAAGCGCAUCUAGGUUCAUCGGAAACAGACUUUCUACCUCCAAAUCUCUAAAAUAGGGUUAGGUUCUGCAUAUACUCUAUCCGCAUCACAUCCACUGUGUUGAAUUACGCUGCAUAUGUUGAUGUUGCAUACCAAUUGCAUCUAGCUUAUUACAUUUUUCAAACAAAAAUAAAAACCACUAAUACAAAAAUAAUAAUAAUAAUGAAAAGAAAAUAUUGAUUUUCUUUUAAUGAAAAUUCUGGCUCGUCACUAUUGCGCCUGGAAUGAUGAGAAAUUUGACAUUGUGUUGGUGACUUUGGUCCCAAGAGUAUAAUGCGAUGUGUCCAUAUAACGAUGACAGUUAUGCAUUAUUACUUCACAUAUUACUAUUCCACAAUUCCAUAUAAUGCAAAAAAACAAGGUUAGACAAAAAAUAGGAUGGGGGUCUUCUACAUACAUAUGAUGCAAAAAACAAGACUGCAACUUAAAUGUUCUGUAGUUGAUUUAGAUUUUAAUAAAGUAAAGUGGUUUCACCUAAAUCAUUUCUAAUUUGACAAAAAAAAGAGAAGUAACUAUUUUUGUUUGAUAUUUUGUAAAAGACUAAAUACAUAGUACAUAAACUUUGGUUAAAGGACAAAGAGAAUAAACAAAAAUGAACUUGACUGACCUUGACAUUCAAAUAAGGAAAAAAGAAGGGAAAAUCUUAGUAACUCGGUUGGUUGACUAAUCUAAAACUCUCACUUUAUUGGUGACGGUUUGAUUUUCCACAUUAUAAUCUCCUCCCCAUUUUGACUAUCUCUACUCUUUUUUUUUUUUUAAAAAAAAGGGUCAAUCUAACAAAUAUAUUUUACUUAAGGAUAAUAUAGUACUCUCUCCAUUUUAAUCCAACAAACAUGCAUCAAACAUUCAAUUAAUAUACACUAAUAAACAAAUUAUGUACUUAAGUACACAACAACAUCAUACCUAGUGUGAUCCCUCAAGUAGGGUGUAUGCAAAUCUUAUUCUUACCUCUUGCUGAGUUAAAUAAAUUAUUUUCAAAAUAGGUUUCAAUAAAGAGUGUAAUUAAGCAACUACUUGUAAUCAGUAGAACUAAUAAUUUGAAAAUUAAGACAAACAACAUGUUAGUAUAAUAAAUGAACAAUGAGAAGGACCAACUAGUACUCUUUUGAGACCAAAAUCACCAACAAAGUGUCAUCUUCUGCUUCUUCUUCAAAAUUCAAUUUCCCCUUGGCACAUCUUAGGUGUAGCAAAUUGACUCCUUUUAUAGAUUGUGUUGAUG